AGAGUUUGAUCAUGGCUCAGAUUGAACGCUGGCGGUAACUUUUAAACAUGCAAGUCGAGCGGUAACAGACAUAAAGAUUCAGCUUGCUGAAUCCGGUGCUGACGAGCGGCGAACGGGUGAGUAACGCGUAGGAAUCUACCCAGUAGCGGGGGAUAGCCCGAGGAAACUCGGAUUAAUACCGCAUACGCCCUGAGGGGGAAAGGGGGCAGUUUACUGCUCUCACUAUUGGAUGAGCCUGCGUAAGAUUAGCUUGUUGGUGGGGUAAUGGCCUACCAAGGCAACGAUCUUUAGCUGGUCUGAGAGGACGAUCAGCCACAUUGGGACUGAGACACGGCCCAGACAUCUACGGAUGGCAGCAGUUAAGAAUAUUGGACAAUGGGGGCAACCCUGAUCCAGGUAUACCGCGUGUGUGAAGAAGGCCCUAGGGUUGUAAAGCACUUUAAUCAGAGAAGAAGCANUUUAAGUUAAUACCUUANUNUGUUGACGUUACCUGAAGAAUAAGGACCGGCUAACUCCGUGCCAGCAGCCGCGGUAAUACGGAGGGUCCAAGCGUUAAUCGGAAUUACUGGGCGUAAAGCGCGCGUAGGCGGUUUAGCAAGUUGNAUGUGAAAGCCCUGGGCUCAACCUAGGAACUGCAUUCAAAACUACUAAGCUAGAGUACGAGAGAGGAGAGUAGAAUUUCUGGUGUAGCGGUGAAAUGCGUAGAUAUCAGAAGGAAUACCAAUGGCGAAGGCAGCUCUCUGGCUCGUCACUGACGCUGAGGUGCGAAAGCGUGGGUAGCAAACAGGAUUAGAUACCCUGGUAGUCCACGCCGUAAACGAUGAGAACUAGCCG
rnacentral:rRNA from 1 species